AUGAGCUGUGAUUGGUCGAUUUACGUGUCAAUCAGAGGGUUUCUUCCUGUCAUGUGGGCGGUCCUUGGUCAGAAUGAGCUGCAGAGAGUCGUGCAGGUGUGAAUAUAAAUGCAGCUUGAUGCAGUAAUGAAGGGUUUGUUCGGAGACCUCGGCUCACACAGAAGGUCAAAGGCUUUAAAAGCAAAGCUAACCUUCACAUCGGCUCUUCAGACUGAUGAGCGAUUAAAAACUUUGACAGCCAAUCAGAAUCAAUCCUGCUGGAGAAUUUAAAGUGGUAGAUGAGCGUUUGCUUAGAAUAAACAGACGAUAUCGUCUGCUGCUGUGGAUGUUGUGUCUUUGAAUGUCUUUGGAGUGGAAGAUGAAGCUGUGAGGAGCAUCAAUGCACUGAAGCUGAGCUGCAGAAACACGCUUAACACGAGUCCAGAGUCCAGACAGAAGCAAUGCACCCUGGGAAUCAAGUGCAGCAUUUUUCCCCAAUCAGACGCUGAUUAUGAAUGUGAGAGGACCCUCGGCUCGAGCAUUGAUGGCUUCUCUGUCAUUUUUACACAGUGGACACACUUGAGAUUGUUUGGCAGCUCGGUGAGAGGGCCUCUGCUGAACUGGCGAGCCAAACAAAUCAGCAGCUCACAGUCAGUGCGGUGAUCACCAAAAGCACAUUCACAGAGGAUGAUGGGUGGACGGAUGUCGGCUCUCUUUUAUUAAAGCUCAUCUCUGCGUGUAAUUGGCUCAGAGAUGGCUGAUAAUCUGCCGUGGAAGAUAUUUGUCUCCGACUUGUUCCGUGUCCUUCUCAGCUGGAGCCAAAUUAUCAUACUCUCAAAAUGAAGAUCUAUUCCUGGAAUAUUCUUGGAGCAACACCGAAUCAUCAGACGGAUUGCAUUAAUAUAACUGUUUUAAUUCUUCAUGUCUGCUCACCAAAACGUCUGAAAAACUGUGAACAAUAAUCAAAUAUUCAUGCCAUCUGGAGUCGUGGCGUCUUGAUAGUUCAGGAAUUGGGACGGUUAUGCAAUAAUAGCAGGUUUAAUUGGAUUAGUACAUAGCAGAUCUUUGAAUCUGGAUCACAUUACAGCCUGUUUUGACAAAGAAACACUCACUGCUUUAAGCGUAAUUUGGCAACACCUUACAAAAGGGUUCCAGUUGUAUCUCCAAUUCAGUUUUUUUUUUUCCCGCCACGGAAUAUUUAAUAAAAAAUUAAUUGUGACUUUUUAUCUAGAGUUUCUCAGUUUAUAUCUCUCAAUUAGGACUUUGUUUGUAAAAUAUUAACUUUUU